AUAUAUAUAUAUAUAUAUACAGUGGAACCUCGGAAUACGAGUAACUUAGUGUACGAGUAAAUUAGAAUACGAGCAUUUCAACUCGUAAAAAAUCGAUUUAGAGUACGAGCGAUAAACUAGAAUACGAGCAAAUGUGAGGAAAUGGCAAGCAUCCGCCUGUGACUGUUUUGAAAAUCCCGCGCGGCGACUGCAAUCUUGUGGCAGCCGCCCAAGUUAUUGGUCGGCCGAGCACAUGUACACAGUCAGUGUUUGUCUGAGGUUGGGCGGGUGAACUGACGUGCUUUCUGAUCACUUCUUUGAGUAUUUUCACCCACAUAACACACAAUGGCGCCCAAGAGGAAGACAGGUGCCACUGAAGGCAGUGAGAGAAGGAAAAAAGGAUCAAUAACAAUAGAAGAUAAGAAAGAGAUCAUUGAAAAGUCUGAAAGGGGUGUUCGUGUGUCUCAGCUUGCUAUGCAGUACGGUCUUGGUAAAGCUACCUAAAAGACAGCAAAGUGAUUCUGAGAGCUCCUCUGAUUCAGAGGACUCUCUCCCCACAGUAACCCCACUCCUCCUCCCCACCUCCACAUCAAGCCCAUGAAGUCUUCGAUUUAUCAACAUAAAGAAUGUUAACUGCAACCUAACAGUCAACACGGGUCGUACCGCAGCAGGCUACUUCAGGACGUGACAAGCUCUCGUACAAACACCUUAGGAGACCUGACCAGAAUGAAAGAUUGGCGACUGGACCAGGAAGGUCCUCAAGGGUGCGGACAUAUACUGGUUCAGACUUCGGUCCAUCACCAGCAGGAUUGAAGCACAAAAUGGUGCUGCCUAUAGCUCCUGUAGGUUGCCUUGAGGGGCCUCUUGGGUGACCCCAGUUUGCUAACAAUGCAGGCAAAUUUUAUUUUUAGUGGCUGCCAUGAUAUAUGACUUUUGAUUAGCUCAACACGCCUACACGCUGACCACUCUGCCACCAUCUCCCCAAAUAUUGAGUAAGAACUCUCCUCAACAUGCCUCGCCACUACGUGCCCGAGCACAUCCUUCAGACAGACUGCACGGGCCUUAUGGAGGCGUUCAAUUACUGGGUCAAAACCAAAUGCCAUUCAUAUAAAUAUUGAACAACCAUAGUGACAUGACACACUCCUGCCUUAAGCCCACUUUUAUCUUAAAAUGUUCACUUGUUUUUCCAGUAAUUUUGACACAUGCAGAUGCAUCCUCAUAGAAAGACUUUAUUGCAUUAAGCAGUUUUCCUUCCACACCAUAUAUCUAUCUUUAACACGUCCCACAACACCAACCAAUCGACUGUCAUAAGCUUUUUCUAGGUCCAUGAGGGCAACGUAUAUUUUUUUUUCCUUUUGCUAAUAUUUUUUCUACUACCAUCCUGAAGGAAAAUAUCUGAUCCACACAUCCCCUUCCCUUCCUGAAGCCUCCUUGUUCUUCACUGAUUUUCUCUUCAGUAAGUCUUUGCACCCUCUCUAUUAUGACUUUUCCAUAUACCUUUCUGGGUAUACUCAGCACUUAUACCUCUAUAGCUCCCACACUCCCCUCUCCUGCCCUUCCCCUUGUAAACUGGGACAAUGAUGGCUUUCAUCCAGUCUGCUGGCACCCCCCCCUCCCAUGCUACUUCAUAUAUCUUGACCAUCCAUUUAACGACUACAUCUCCUCCACACUUCAACAUUUCUGCUGUGAUUCCAUCAAUUCCUGCUGCCUUUCCAUUUUUUAAUCUUUUUAUUGCCUGAUUUACUUCUUCAUAUGUUAUACUUCUUUCUUUAUAUACUCCUCCACCUCUACUCAAAACUGCUGCUGGACGUCCAUCCUCAAAAUUCAUUAAGUCUUUGAAAUAUUCUCUCCAUCUCUCUUUCACAGCUUCCCCGUCUUUCAACAUCUUUCCAUUCUCAUCCAUAACUUCAUUUAUUUAACUUGGGGAAAUAUUUUCCACAUUUCUUUCAUUCUUUACUUCUCUCCAAUAUGAUUUUGUUUCCUUUAUAUUUUUCACUUAGUCUUUUUCCAAAGUUUUCAUUAACUCUCUUUUUACUUUCUUUUACUGCUUGUUUUAAUUUCAUUUAGCAUUCUCUACAUUUCUUUUUCCUUAGAUAUUAUUCUUAAUGCAAAUUCAUCAUAACAUGCACACUAUCCAGGAGA